rnacentral:rRNA from 1 species
AUUGAACGCUGGCGGCAUGCUUUACACAUGCAAGUCGAACGGCAGCGCGGGCUUCGGCCUGGCGGCGAGUGGCGAACGGGUGAGUAAUACAUCGGAACGUGCCCAGUAGUGGGGGAUAGCUCGGCGAAAGCCGGAUUAAUACCGCAUACGACCUGAGGGUGAAAGCGGGGGAUCUUCGGACCUCGCGCUAUUGGGGCGGCCGAUGGCAGAUUAGCUAGUUGGUGGGGUAAAGGCCUACCAAGGCGACGAUCUGUAGCUGGUCUGAGAGGACGACCAGCCACACUGGGACUGAGACACGGCCCAGACUCCUACGGGAGGCAGCUGUGGGGAAUUUUGGACAAUGGGCGAAAGCCUGAUCCAGCAAUGCCGCGUGUGUGAUGAAGGCCUUCGGGUUGUAAAGCACUUUUGGCGGGAACGAAAAGGACUGUGCCAAUACCACGGUUCGAUGACGGUACCCGCAGAAUAAGCACCGGCUAACUACGUG